GACGAGCGCUGGCGGCGUGCUUAACACAUGCAAGUCGAACGGACAGGCCCUGCUUUUGUGGGGUGCUCGUGUGGCGAACGGGUGAGUAAAACGUGAGUAUCCUGCCCUUGUCUUUGGGAUAUCUUCAGGAAACUGGGGCUCAUACCGGAUAGGAGCUCCUGCUGCAUGGUGUGGGUUGGAGAGUUUCGGCGGUUGGGGAUGGACUCGCGGCUUAUCAGCUUGUUGGUGGGGUAGUGGCUUACCAAGGCUUUGACGGGUAGCCGGCCUGAGAGGGUGACCGGCCACAUUGGGACUGAGAUACGGACCAGUCGCCUACGGGAGGCAGCAGUGGGGAAUAUUGCACAAUGGGCGGAAGCCUGAUGCAGCAACGCCGCGUGCGGGAUGACGGCUUUCGGGUUGUAAACCGCUUUCGCCUGUGACGAAGCGUGAGUGACGGUAAUGGGUAAAGAAGCACCGGCUAACUACGUG
rnacentral:rRNA from 1 species